UACGUAGGGUGCGAGCGUUGUCCGGAAUUAUUGGGCGUAAAGGGCUCGUAGGCGGUUUGUCGCGUCGGGAGUGAAAACACCGGGCUUAACUCGGUGCUUGCUUUCGAUACGGGCAGACUAGAGGCAUGCAGGGGAGAACGGAAUUCCUGGUGUAGCGGUGAAAUGCGCAGAUAUCAGGAAGAACACCAAUGGCGAAAGCAGCUUUCUGGGACGGUACUGACGCUGAGACGCGAAAGCGUGGGGAGCGAACAGG
rnacentral:rRNA from 1 species